rnacentral:lncRNA from 1 species
UUGCAAUUAGAUAAGGAUGUGUGGAUCAGAGCAUGGUGCCUAGCGAAUUUAGGAUCAAAAUAUGACGAUAUUAUAGCCAGGGACUGGGAGUCUCAAACUGAUUUCCUAAUUGAUAAAUUGAAUAUGUACAAUGCAGCACGAUGCCUGGCAGGACUCUCUCCUCUUAAUCCUGCAAGGUAAGCCAAAAAGUGCUUUAUCUCUUCCAAAUUAUAAACUAUGGCUAAAGACAAGUCUAAUCGAGGAAAACUGCAAGCUUCUCAUGGCUUAUACGUGGUUAGAGUUGCAGCCACUUGUAGAAGAGUCACCGAAUAUGUUACGUGUUGACACACUUGGCUGACCCACUGGAGCCCAUAGCCCACUUCUACCGAACCACGUGGCAUCUUAUCCGAGGCACCCAGGCCAACAAGAGUUGACCAGCAUACUAUAACAACACUUGACGUGGCUCAAGUGCUGACGCCGAAGCUAAUAUGCCGAGGUGAUCUUGGAGCCGAGGCCCAAUCUUCUCCGAGGUCUUGAAACUCUAAGCAGCACUCCUCCCCAGAGAUCUGAUCUUACACAAUGAUCCUUCUUGAUUGAUUAAUGAGACACCUAUCAUAGAGUACAAAUGUCUUGUUUUGUCAAUGUAGUAGCAGAGCCGCCGGUUAAUAAAUGUAUGGCAGGCUAGAAAGUCAAAUGUGAUACCUAUAAUUUGACAUGUAGACUUACGAGACGAGGCCACGUGUACUCCCAACCAAGGGCCACGAUCUAAAUUGUAAUACUAUAAAUACUCCCCCAUGCAUCUCUGACAGGGGUACUGCAAGAUUCAACACAAGAACAAAUACAACAUUCUUUACAUUUUACUCUCUUACAACACACACAAAUCCAUACACGCGUUCUAAAAAUAUCGAUUGGUAAUUAUUGUACAAUUGUUAUGCAAACAUCUCGUCGAAUUUCGAACGUUCUCGCCCCACGCCUUUGAGUUGCUCCCAUGCCCCCUUUUACUACUAGUUCUAGAUCGUCCACGUGUCUUAGCGUGUUGGACCAGACUUACAUGUGCGCAAGUGGGUCUGGUAUCUGUUGGCAACAUAUUCUGGGGUCAACAGAUUGGCGCCAUCUUUGGGAAACCAUACUAUAAUCACUAGCGACCGUGUGGAGAAAGCUUAUCGAAAAUAAUAUUUGGGUAUCUCCCUUAAAAAAGGAUUUGUUCUUGAAAAAGAAUAAGAGGAAGCCCCAUAACUUGGAUGAAAUUUGAAGCUAAAACAUAGAAAUAUGAGUUCAGAUGAGGAUGUACCCCCCAGGAGGGUGAGAGAAAACAUAGGGACAGUCCCAACAGCUCAUCGCAAGCCCCACCUCCAUCACAGAAGAGGUGGUACAAGAAUGCCUGCCCAAAUCUCAAGAGAGAUGGCUAUCAUGGCCGUGAAUAUGAGGAACAUUGCAAGCCAAAACAUGGCCAUGAGGGAGCUCAUAGCCCAAAUGCAGGGCCAGGGAGGUUUCCCAUGCCUCCAUUUGCACUUCAAUGGCAGUAACAACAAGAGAAAGAGGUCCAAAGCCAAAGGGUUGCAUAAUAAAAAUACGACUAAGGUGGUGUACCCCUAGAGAGGGAAAUAGAAUUUGACGUUUCUUUCAACUAUGCUUCAGGCCGGCCUAUUGAGGUCCCAUAUAACCAGGAUAACUUCACACCCGCAUAUGAGUCGGAACAAAGACCCAGAAGGUCAAACAAUAAUUUUAACAGAAUCAGCCCAGCCAAACUAAGGCGAAGGCAGCAGCAACAACCUCGUGAGCCUCGAGCGAGGCCACAGCCCCCACCUCCAAUAACUCAGCAACUGAAGAAAAGGCAUGAAAAUGUCCCCCAUGAUACUCUGCCUAGAAAUAGGCGUCAAAGGAGUGAGGAGGAGGCUAGGAACCAGGUCUGUCCUUCAUAUCUGCCACCUAGAUAUGAAGCUGAUGAGAACAACAACUCAGAUGAACAACAAAUGUCUUGUGACUUAGAUGAUGAUGAUGAUGAUGAUGAUGAAAAUCUACCAUUUUCAAGGGAAUUAAGGAGCGUCCAGGCACCGAACCACUAUGUUAUGCCUAAGAUACUAAAAUACCAUGGAAGAGGCGACCUAAAGAAGAAUUUAAAUGCUUAUAAGACCCAUAUGAGCCUGAGAGGAGCCACUUUGACAGUGAAGUGCAGGGCUUUCCACUUGACACUUAGUGGGAAGGCGGUUGAAGAAGUGGCCCUUAAUGAGGCCCUUUCUUUUAAGAAAGAGGCUAAGAAAAA